UACAGAGGGUGCAAGCGUUGUUCGGAAUCAUUGGGCGUAAAGGGCGUGUAGGCGGUUUGUUAAGUCAUGUGUGAAAUCCCUCGGCUCAACCGGGGAACGACGCAUGAAACUGGCAAGCUAGAGUACCAAAGAGGGGGGUGGAAUUCCCGGUGUAGCGGUGAAAUGCAUAGAUAUCGUCAAGAACACCGAUAGCGAAGGCAGCUUACCAAGCUGUAACUGACACUGAGGCACGAAAGUGUGGGGAUCAAACAGG
rnacentral:rRNA from 1 species